AGGACGAACGCUGGCGGCGUGCUUAACACAUGCAAGUCGAGCGGUAAGGCCUUUCGGGGUACACGAGCGGCGAACGGGUGAGUAACACGUGGGUGAUCUGCCCUGCACUCUGGGAUAAGCCUGGGAAACUGGGUCUAAUACCGGAUAUGACCUGCUCUCGCAUGGGGGUGGGUGGAAAGAUUUAUCGGUGCAGGAUGGGCCCGCGGCCUAUCAGCUUGUUGGUGGGGUAAUGGCCUACCAAGGCGACGACGGGUAGCCGACCUGAGAGGGUGACCGGCCACACUGGGACUGAGACACGGCCCAGACUCCUACGGGAGGCAGCAGUGGGAAUAUUGCACAAUGGGCGAAAGCCUGAUGCAGCGACGCCGCGUGAGGAUGAAGGCCUUCGGGUGUAAACCUCUUUCAGCAGGACGAAGCGCAAGUGACGGUACCUGCAGAAGAAGCACCGGCUAACUACGUGCCAGCAGCCGC
rnacentral:rRNA from 1 species